UGUCGUUCUCUGGUGAAUUGUUUGUUUGGUGAUAGCACUGGCUUCGUAAUCGAAAUUAUAGUACUUGUCAUGGAAACAUGUUUGUGCUGUUCGCUCAUCUAACAAGACGAACCGUUUGCAAGUGAAGUGCGCGAGCGUCAAGAUAGCGGGGUGCAGGUGCACGUUAGCAAGCUACUGCAGUAUAUAACUGACCUAGACAGUGUAUGUCAGCAACAUGUCAUUCACCAGCCUUUUUUCAAGUCUUCCAAACAAAGAAUUUGACACGGCGCCUUGUGAGCCGAGAGAGAGGUAAGCUACUAUAAUACAAGUAGUCAUUAUUUCUACUGUGUCUCUUUUACUAUGCUGGAUUAAUGUAACUAGUUAACUAACAUAGUCAUGUGUUUCAGCUUUGAAUUGGAGUACAUAGCCAACUGUGACAAUUGAUUGUAUCCAAUAUUUCUCAGAUUUCAAAGGGAUGAAAGGCAACUGGAACCAGUUAAACUGGAGGUGAAGAAAGUCCAGAAAGUGGCCAUUGCAAAGGUGUCAGAGUGGCCCCAGGAAGAGGAAAAAGGGGGACCAACCGGUGAAUGUGUCAUGUACUAAACAGAUGCUGAAUAGGCAAAUUCAGGAUGGAGAAGUUUUUUUGCUAAACAUUGACAUAAGCCUAACUAACAUAUGCCUAUCUUGCGUUUGUGCAGUGCUUUGUACUACUAGGCGAAUUGCAUACCACAUACCUGUAGAUCAGGCCUCCCCAAACCUGUUCCUGGAGCGAUACUCUCCUGUAGGUUUUCGCUCCUAUCCCAGUUGUAACCAACCUGAUUCAGUUUAUCAACCAGAUAAUUAUUAGAUUGAGCUGCGCCAGAUUACGGUUGAGGUGACAACCUACAGGACGGUAGCUCUCCAGGAACGUGGUGGCGAGCCCUACUGUAGAUUAAAAAGUUGGUAUAGAAAUAGGCCACAAACAUUACCAUUUGGUAUUGCCCCUUUUGAUUUUGUGUUAUAACGUUACCCUUUUUGUAUUUUUCUACAGGAGCAGUGUGGUCAGGCCAAGAAAAGUAAGCUCCAUAAAUGCCCAUCACAAUCUUAUAAAGAGUUUGACUCUGUGGCCCGAGACUACAACAUAGUGAAGUGUGAUUUCGAGCAACCAGGCUUUGACUUCAGUAGAGACCUGGACUUCUACAGUGAUAGCAAGGAGGGUGCAUCCCCAGGUCAUGCUACAGAGAAGGAUCCUGAUCAGAUCAAGGAUGUUCAAGGUGUAAACGAGAAGAAAGGACGGGAGCAGAAGAAGCAGCGACGGGAGCCCCAGCAGCAGAGACUUGACAACCAGGCCAGAGGCAGAGGGGCAAACUCUGCCAGGAGGGGUGGGGAUUUUACCGGAAUGGGUGGACGCGGAACUAACCAGCCCAGAGACUUCUCCAACAGGGGCGGCGGUGGUUCCAACAGGGGCGCCGAGUGGAGCAAUAGAGGCCAGGGCUGUGACAAGAGGGGCGGUUUUCUCAGAAGAGGUGAUUGGUCAAAGCGAGGCACUGACCGGUCACUUAGAGGUGGACGACAGUUCCCAAAUGAUCUGAUUCCAACAUCUUCCAGGAAACUUUGACCGGAAAGGGGUAGAAGAACAUGACAAAGGAAUUCAAAGACCAGAAUGCUUUGGAGAUUGACGGCAGGUUAAUCUGUCGACAUUUCCUCAGGGGAAAGUGCA